rnacentral:rRNA from 1 species
CACGUAGGGCGCAAGCGUUGUCCGGAAUUAUUGGGCGUAAAGAGCUCGUAGGUGGUUUGUUACGUCUGCUGUGAAACCUAGGGCUUAACCCUGGGCUUGCAGUGGAUACGGGCAGACUAGAGUUCGGUAGGGGAGUCGUGGAAUUCCUGGUGUAGCGGUGAAAUGCGCAGAUAUCAGGAAGAACACCAAUGGCGAAGGCAGCUCUCUGGGACGGUACUGACGCUGAGACGCGAAAGCGUGGGGAGCGAACAGG